UUACUUCUGAGUCUCCAUACGAAUCUCUUCUCGUCUCAUCUCCCUCGUCGCUCUCCUUUCUUUAACAAAUCUCAUCUUGUCUAUCUCUAUGCAUCUCGUUCUCUCUUCACGACACUCCUCUUUGUUCAUUUCUUCCUCGUCAACCACUUAAACGUUUAUGGCUCCUUCCACCGAAACCUUUGACCGUCGUUAACCUUGGACCCCAGGCUUGAAUCUCCCUUGUGAGUAAUGUUUUAGAUUGGGUUUUGCAUGUUUGGUUAGUGUUAGCGGAUUUUUGUGUAGGAUCUUUGUGAGUACUACGGAACCAUAAAUAAGCAUGGCGUUUAGUAUUGAUUUGCAAGUAGUAAGAUUGAAGGAGACGUUUUAUUAGAUCAAAGAGCUCGAACUACAAUAGACUGGUGUAUAAACCCUAGUUCUAGCCGACUAGCUCUAAUCUCUAAGUCUCGAAGUGUAGAUCUCUUGUUCUAGGGUUUGGGCUCCCCUUAUAUAGUCGUCUUGAGGUCGACCUGAGUCGUUUUGAGUAGGUUUAACUCUUCCAUAUUCAGAAAUAUGGAAGGUUCUCCAUAUAGGAAGUUUUCCAUUUUCCGGAGGAAGGGGUGGUCCCUGAGACCGGUCCUGGAAUGUUUCCUAGCGGGGACCUGGAGCGUUCCCUUGCGGGGACCCGGGGCGUCUUCUAGCGGGGACCCGGAGGCCGAUGUCCUGCCUGGGGUAUGGAGGAAUUCAAUACCUGAGUUACGAUUUCGAUUCACCUUUGAUUGCAUUUUUACUUCGGUUUUUGAUUUAUUUAAGAUAAGGGUUUUGAUUUAUUUGGGGUUAGGGUUAGAUUUAAACAUUGAUUUGGCGUUAGGGUUUGAUUCGGUUUAUGAUAUCGAUUUUCAUUUUAUUAAGGGUUGUGGUGUUGCUUAAUUUUGGGGUUCUAGUUUCAGUUCACUUUGGGCUUUCCAUUUAAUUUUGUUCGAUGUAACUCUCCCAACUAAUAUAAUCUUUCCUCUAUAGUCUUUAUGUAUAUAUGCAAUAGGGGAGACCCCAAAUGAGAAUCACGUCAAUGCAUGCUAAGGUGACUCGAGCUUCUACUCAAUCAUUACCUCCAGGAGCUCUCGGGUCUUACAGUGUAGUCUCGUCAGCUCCUCCUACCUAUGUCAAGAGAACCGAAGAUGCUUUGCUACAUGCUCCCUCCAAACUUAACCAGCCACACCUCCAUUCUGAGAAAGCUCAGUGGCGCAUUAUGGUUCGGUAUUGAUCCUAAGUCCACAUCUUUAUCUGAGCAACGUGUUAUAGAUACUACUGGGGACCGUACGCCAUCUGGAAAUUCAUUCCAUAGAAAAGAAGGAUAAAUGGUGGCAAACUUUCACUCGACACUACUACUGGGAGGACAAGUUCCAUGAUGAAAUAUACGCCAAAUGGAAGCUACAGACACAUGUCACAAUAUGUGGUAAAAUUAGCCAUAAAAAAACGAAGAAACCUAACAUUAGUGAUGAAGAUGGGGCCACUACUUGCAAAUUGGGUGGCAGAUGAGGCAAAAUCGAAGAGUCAAUCAGCAGCUGGAUCCCGCACUUCUGCUCUGCCAGAGAAGAAGAUGCACAAGCACGAUGAAGGACCACAGACCCUUACAAAUAUUGAGUAUUAUGGUUGAUGAGUUUUUGGAGUAAUCAACUGCAUAUACUGAUCUUGUGAGGAAGACUUACACACGUAAACAUGGUUCCUUCAUCGACGAACGUGCAGAGGCCCUGGUUGAGGAGGUUGAGCAAGCCGUUGAAGAGCUGACACAUGGUAGAUAUCCACUUGCCAACCGCCAGACUGGAUCAACGGCUGCAACACCACAUUCAGGGCGCCUGCGUGGGCAUACACACAAGGGUAACAUUCAUGGUCAUGGAAGUGUUCAGUUCAAGAACUCCAGUACCUCUGAGUCUGUCUCUAUCACGUUGAAGCUUUGACAUGAAGAUCUACAUUAGUGGCUUGGAGACGAACACUGGUGCACUCAAGGCUGAUCUCAAUACCUUGAAGUCUGACUUCGAGGUUGAGAUGGUUGCAACUAGAGCAACUCGCAACAUAAUUCCGCAAGCUCUCCAGCCUCAAACUUCAGUUCCCACUGUCUCAACUACACUAUCAAGUCAGCCUCCGCCUCAACCUCAAUAUUAAUAUCAAUUUUAUUCUCCUGCUAAAGCUCAAGCGCAACAUGAAUAUCUCAUCACCACUACCAAUCCAAUUUAGAACUGUGGUGUAGUGAAGAACUUGGUUUGUAGGUUCAGAUGUUGUUGUUGCUUGACAAAAAACAAUUCCAUGUAAUUUAUUUUCUUAU